rnacentral:rRNA from 1 species
CCCUUAGAUGUUCUGGGCCGCACGCGCGCUACAAUGAUGAAUUCAACGAGUUUAUAACCUUGGUUGAAAAGCCUGGGUAAUCUUUUGAACUUUCGUCGUGAUGGGGCUAGACCCUUGCAAUUAUUGGUCUCCAACGAGGAAUUCCUAGUAAACGCAAGUCAUCAGCUUGCAUUGAUUACGUCCCUGCCCUUUGUACACACCGCCCGUCGCACCUACCGAUUGAACGGUCCGGUGAAAUCUUCGGAUUGAGACUUUGAUUUGUUUACUCAAAACGCUGUUUCAAGAAGUUGAUUAAACCUUACCAUUUAGAGGAAGGUGAAGUCGUAACA